rnacentral:rRNA from 1 species
AUUGAACGCUGGCGGAAUGCUUUACACAUGCAAGUCGAACGGCAGCACGGACUUCGGUCUGGUGGCGAGUGGCGAACGGGUGAGUAAUGUAUCGGAACGUGCCCAGUCGUGGGGGAUAACGUAGUGAAAAUUACGCUAAUACCGCAUACGAUCUAUGGAUGAAAGCGGGGGAUCGAACGACCUCGCGCGAUUGGAGCGGCCGAUAUCAGAUUAGGUAGUUGGUGGGGUAAAGGCCCACCAAGCCAACGAUCUGUAGCUGGUCUGAGAGGACGACCAGCCACACUGGAACUGAGACACGGUCCAGACUCCUACGGGAGGCAGCAGUGGGGAAUUUUGGACAAUGGGCGAAAGCCUGAUCCAGCCAUUCCGCGUGCAGGAUGAAGGCCCUCGGGUUGUAAACUGCUCUUGUACAGAACGAAAAGGUUUCUACUAAUACUAGGAGCUCAUGACGGUACUGUAAGAAUAAGCACCGGCUAACUACGUGCCAGCCGCCGCGGUAA